rnacentral:rRNA from 1 species
AUUGAACGCUGGCGGCAGGCCUAACACAUGCAAGUCGAGCGAGCGGCGGACGGGUGAGUAAUGUCUGGGAAACUGCCUGAUGGAGGGGGAUAACUACUGGAAACGGUAGCUAAUACCGCAUACCAUCAGAUGUGCCCAGAUGGGAUGAGCUAGUAGGUGGGGUAACGGCUCACCUAGGCGACGAUCCCUAGCUGGUCUGAGAGGAUGACCAGCGCCACGGGAACUGAGACACAGUCCAGAAUCCUACGGGAGGCAGCAGUGGGGAAGAUUGCACAAUGGGCGCAAGCCUGAUGCAGCCAUGCCGGGUGUGUGAAGAAGGACUUCGGGUUGUAAAGCACUUUCAGCGGGGAGGCGUUACCCGCAGAAGAAGCACCGGCUAACUCCGUGCCAGCAGCCGCGGUAAUAC